UUAAUUACAAAAUUACAGUUAGAAUCUGGAGAAUCAAGGGAAAGUAUAUAGAAGUUGUAGAAGUUAAUUAAGGUGCCAUCACUGUGAUAGUUGUGAGCCGAGGUAAGCUUGGUGCUACCUCUUUUCUUUUGUUUGUUAUUUUCUUUGAAUAAGAGGAUUGAGAGUUUUUGAAUAUUGUGAAGUGAAUUAUGGAAUGGAAAUAUGAUUGGUAUUAUUUGAGAAGAAAAAAGAUUGAAUGCUGAAAUCUGGUUGUAGUUCAGCAGAGAGAAUGAGUCUAUGUUUGCGUGAAACACCAUAAUAUAAAUGGCAGUUUUGUAAAAAGAAUUCUAGUGAUUGGAAUGAGGGUAAUUGUGUGCUGAAAGCUGUGAGGGUGCAGUAUUACAGUUGGAGAUUAUGAGGGUGAAUAUAUUGGUAGAAAUAGCAUUUAUUGGUAUGAUUGAAUUGCUGCAAGAAAGAGACCGAUAAGGUGAAGGAAGAGAUUAUAGUUUC
rnacentral:lncRNA from 1 species